GACGAACGCUGGCGGCGUGCUUAACACAUGCAAGUCGAACGGUGAAGCGCCUUCCUUUUUGGUGGGUGUGGAUGAGUGGCGAACGGGUGAGUAACACGUGAGUAACCUGCCCCCUUCUUCUGGAUAACCGCAUGAAAGUGUGGCUAAUACGGGAUAUUCUGGGUCUGUCGCAUGAUGGGUCUGGGAAAGAUAUUGUUUCGGUGGGGGAUGGGCUCGCGGCCUAUCAGCUUGUUGGUGGGGUGAUGGCCUACCAAGGCGGUGACGGGUAGCCGGCCUGAGAGGGUGGACGGUCACACUGGGACUGAGACACGGCCCAGACUCCUACGGGAGGCAGCAGUGGGGAAUAUUGCACAAUGGGCGCAAGCCUGAUGCAGCGACGCCGCGUGAGGGAUGGAGGCCUUCGGGUUGUGAACCUCUUUCGCCAGUGAAGCAGGCCUGCCUCGUUUGUGGGUGGGUUGACGGUAGCUGGAGAAGAAGCGCCAGCUAACUACGUG
rnacentral:rRNA from 1 species